rnacentral:rRNA from 1 species
CGGGAUUGCCUUAGUAACGGCGAGUGAAGCGGCAAAAGCUCAAAUUUGAAAUCUGGUACCUUCGGUGCCCGAGUUGUAAUUUGGAGAGGGCAACUUUGGGGCCGUUCCUUGUCUAUGUUCCUUGGAACAGGACGUCAUAGAGGGUGAGAAUCCCGUGUGGCGAGGAGUGCGGUUCUUUGUAAAGUGCCUUCGAAGAGUCGAGUUGUUUGGGAAUGCAGCUCUAAGUGGGUGGUAAAUUCCAUCUAAAGCUAAAUAUUGGCGAGAGACCGAUAGCGAACAAGUACAGUGAUGGAAAGAUGAAAAGAACUUUGAAAAGAGAGUGAAAAAGUACGUGAAAUUGUUGAAAGGGAAGGGCAUUUGAUCAGACAUGGUGUUUUGUGCCCUCUGCUCCUUGUGGGUAGGGGAAUCUCGCAUUUCACUGGGCCAGCAUCAGUUUUGGUGGCAGGAUAAAUCCAUAGGAAUGUAGCUUGCCUCGGUAAGUAUUAUAGCCUGUGGGAAUACUGCCAGCUGGGACUGAGGACUGCGACGUAAGUCAAGGAUGCUGGCAUAAUGGUUAUAUGCCGCCCGUCUUGAAACACGGACCUC